UUGAUCUCAAAUCAGGUAGGAGUACCCGCUGAACUUAAGCAU
rnacentral:rRNA from 1 species